rnacentral:rRNA from 1 species
AGGAGAGGAAAGUGGAAUUCCUAGUGUAGCGGUGAAAUGCGUAGAUAUUAGGAGGAAUACCAGUGGCGAAGGCGACUUUCUGGACUUAUACUGACGCUGAGGAACGAAAGCGUGGGGAGCAAACAGGAUUAGAUACCCUGGUAGUCCACGCCGUAAACGAUGAGUGCUAGGUGUUGGGGGUCAAACCUCGGUGCCGCAGCUAACGCAUUAAGCACUCCGCCUGGGGAGUACGUACGCAAGUAUGAAACUC